UCCAGAGGAGGAACCAUCCGGGUCGGACCGAUCCAGGCUGCAGGAGACAAAGCACUUCCUGGUUCUGCGCUUCGCCAAGUAGCUGAGUUCCAUGUGUUCGUUGAUGAUCAAAGACUUGACAGCCUUUUCAUCCCACCAGCAUCCGGCCUCCCACUGAGACGUGGGGAGAUGGGCUUGGCCCACUUCCUAAACUGUGUUGUCACCAUAUUAAAAAGAUCCUUUGAGGUUGAAGUGCAGGAGAAUAAAUAGAUUUUCAUUUCUCUGGCCUUCGAUGCUCCAGGGCCUGAUUUGAAGAUAGCAGCAUGCGAUUACUGAACUGGGACACGGACACUUCAGGCCUGAGCUGAGUUCGGAUCCAGCAGGACUCGGUACCGCUGCAGCAGAACCCUCGUCCUGCAUCAAGCUGUGAGAGACGGGUCGGUGCACGGUGUUAAUGUGUAUGAAUGUGUCCGAGGACAAGACAGUGACUCUCAGCACUUCUCCAGGAUGCCCCGGAGCAGUUUAGGUACGCACUUGGAGCCAUUUAGGCUUGUACACGCACAUGAGGCUGAAGCGGUUCUGGUUCCUGUGGGCCGUGGGCUAAGACUGAGCAGAAGGUCGACGCCCAGGUGCAGAGGUGGCAUCAGCUCAUCCAGCCGCUGGUUUGGAUGGAGACACGACAGAGCAGAAGACGAGUUCACAGCCCUGAAGCCGGGCCAGCGUUUGGGUGGUGAAAAAUGACCUGCGAGAGCCGUGAUCCGAUGAACCGCGGUGGUUAGCACAGUUCUGCUGAGUUCAGGCUCAUUUUUCUGGCUGCUUUAUCCCGGAGCGAUCUGCCGGCAGAAGUCACGCUCCUGUAACCUGUCUCCUCUAACGCAGCUCUGACAGCGAGCUGCUCUCUGCUCCCAGACGUUCAUCAUCUCUGUAUCCUCACACAGCGAUCUGCAGUCACUUGUCACAGCUGGAAGCUCACUUACUGCUGCUGCAGCUACAGCUGCUUGCACAAAAACACAGAUGAUGUUUGUCAGGUAGCUGCAAGUGUGUUUUAACUCGGAAGCGUUUCCCAGUCACUUGCAAUUAAAAACUCCUCACCAGUGGUGAAGAAGCCUCAUUGAAAGGUUGACUCCAGAAUAAAGGCCAGGACACAGGGAACCCAUUCACUGUACAGUAGGUGGUUUAGGCUUGUUACAGCAGCAUUAGGCAACAGCGGAAGAGAAGCACAGCUGAUCAUAUUUCUCCAACAUCAGCAUCCAGCAGCAGGAUGGAAAGAAGCCAGAUGCACAGAAAUAGCAGCCGCUGCAGUGAAAGCUGGACCAAGCAGCUCGAACAACGGAUGAGGAUGCGCAGCAGGAACCAGGC